AUAAGAGGUCCAGCCUGCCCAGUGACCUAGUUCAACGGCCGCGGUAUCCUAACCGUGCGAAGGUAGCGUAAUCACUUGUUCUUUAAAUGAGGACUAGUAUGAAUGGCACCACGAGGGUUAAACUGUCUCCUUUUUUUAAUCAGUGAAACUAAUCUCCCCGUGAAGAAGCGGGGAUUCUUUUAUAAGACGAGAAGACCCUAUGGAGCUUUAAACAAGUUAACACCUGCUACUAAUCUUCACUUUCCUGAACCACCACAUUAAGUAUAGCACCUCUGAUUAACAGUUUUCGAUUGGGGUGAUCAUGGAGCAAAAAUCAACCUCCACGACGAAAAGGAACACCUCCUUGAGCCAAAAGCUACAACUUUAAGCACUAAAAAACUAACGCACUUUGACCCAAUUCUUUGAGCAACGAACCAAGUUACCCUAGGGAUAACAGCGCAAUCCACUUUAAGAGCUCCUAUCGACAAGUGGGUUUACGACCUCGAUGUUGGAUCAGGGUAUCCCAGUGGUGCAGCCGCUACUAAAGGUUCGUUUGUUCAACGAUUAAAACCCUACGU
rnacentral:rRNA from 1 species